UACGGGGGGAGCAAGCGUUGUUCGGAUUUACUGGGCGUAAAGGGCGCGUAGGCGGUCAGCACAAGUCAGUUGUGAAAUCUCCGGGCUUAACUCGGAAAGGUCAACUGAUACUGUGCGACUAGAGUGCGGAAGGGGCAACUGGAAUUCUCGGUGCAGCGGUGAAAUGCGUAGAUAUCGAGAGGAACACCUGCGGCGAAGGCGGGUUGCUGGGCCGACACUGACGCUGAUGCGCGAAAGCGUGGGGAGCAAACAGG
rnacentral:rRNA from 1 species